GUCGGACUACGAAGCCCAGGCUGCAACGCAGUCUCUCCUCUGAUGCCCCUCCGCUUCCGGAGGUCGCCUCAGCGUGGUCCCAGAGAGAAAGGGGCGGGGCCUUAAUCACGCCAGCGACGAGGCGACCAAUGGUGGCUGAGUUGGGCGGGCUGCGGAAGUCUGGGGCUCAGGCUUCACCCCGCGGCUGGAAGAGAAGGGGAAGGGUACUAUGCUGAGAAACAUUUUUCUGAGCUCCCCGAUGUCUGACCUGAUAAUUCUGAACCAUGAAUGCAUCAGCUUGGAAGUCAAAAAGGAAGUGAUAUGUGUGUCUUGUGAUAGGCUGGCCAUGGACCAAGAGGAAGGAGAGCUAAAAUGAGAAGCCAUAAGAAUUUGGGUGAGUUUUGGACACAAGCUUUUGCUAGUUUCUGUGGCCACAGAGACGAGUGUUCAUGUGGAGGCUUCUUCUGUUUCUGAUUUUUGAGGUUCACUAAAAUAUGUCUCUUUUUCAGGAACAUUAUGA